rnacentral:lncRNA from 1 species
CACUGACAGAGCCUGGCUCACUCUGACUUGUUCCUGCAUCCUGCUGAGUGACUCUGUGAGGCUUGGAGGUCCAUAGACAAGGUCUUCAUACCCAAAAAGGAGCUGGUGCUGCCAUGUGCACACUGUUGCUCCCUGGAGCUGAACAAUAACAAUGGAAAAUGGGAAAAAAAAAUAAAUCUUGUGUUUUGUGUUCCACAUGCACCUCUGCUCAUAGGACCUUUACUGAGACUCACGAUUAUUCCUCUUGUGUGUUCAUCCUUGCCAGCUCCGCUAACCUGUUCAAAGAGGUUUAGCACUUUCUUUCUUUUUGAAGCACCAUCUGUGUUGUUUUGGUUUCAGCAAUGCAUCACUCAGCAGGACAGGUAUGAUGCCCUCACACAAGAAUGCAUCCAUGUGAGAGAUGAUGCAAAAGCUUCUGCUGAACUAUGUUUUAUAAAUAUGAAAACAGUCACGUAUUGGGCUAAAAAGACCCAGCUCUUUCAGCCUCUCCUUGUGCUUAACUGGACUCACAGGAUAGAAGUGCAAUAAAAUACAUUCUGGUGAGAAGUAAUAAUGUCUUGUCCUGGUACGUAUAACCAUUACACUCUAAAAAAAAGUAGAUACAUGAGUUUUGCUAACUUGGGAAGAACAGUUUUUGUAAAGGUCUGAUAACAGAAUAGAAGAUUAAAUAGUCCAGGUCCUUAUGUCAGUCAUAAUUGCAAAAUGAAUUUGAAAGUUUAAGUAAUCCCAGCUAACAAGUUUAUAAAGUCAUUUUUACCAAAUAAAUAUGCAGGUCCUUUGUAUGGCCA